GGACAUCGGUUCAAGUAGGGAUAUCCAUCGACGCACUUUCGGAAAACAAUAAAAAAAUAUGCAAUCGUACACAAAUAAUCGUAUCGGAGGUUGCCGGAUCGGCGAAGUUACCAUUACCCUGGCCCUCCGGACACCGGAACUCCUCGUCUUUCUUGUCCUCGUCCUUCUUGCUCUUUUGACAAUGCACUGAGAAGAUAAAAGAAAGCGCGCGAUACGGGAGGCGAUGACGUUUCGCGCGCGCGCGCGCGCGAUCACACAGAUGAUUUAAUGUUCGAAAGCCGGGAAAAUGUCAAGGUUGGGGAUCGCUUACUCGAGACACGUUUACGCCCGAGUGUAUUUACGCUCUUGUAUUCCGAAUGAGGCCGGCUGGCAGCUGUGUUGGCUAUCAAGUACCUACGUUCCACUUUUACUGCGUUCCUUCUGUCAAGCGUUGUUACGCUUCAAGCCGCAUGAUUACGCCCGACAGCGGGCGACAGAACGGUGACUUUAAUGAAUGGACAGGCUGGCAGUGCGGUCGUAUAAAGCAAAACUUAAUUUUGUAUGCGACGUAUAGAACGUCUUGAGAGUGUCGAGCGUUUCUCCGCAUCGAAACGCGAGACUUCACUUGCAAGACUCCUUACAUCUUUUGAUCUGUGCCGACUUUAAUAUUUGCUUU